UGGGGAAUAUUGGACAAUGGGCGAAAGCCUGAUCCAGCAAUACCGCGUGUGUGAAGAAGGCCUUCGGGUUGUAAAACACUUUAAGUUGGGAAGAAAAAACUUUACCUAAUACGUGAAGUCUUGACGGUACCGACAGAAUAAGCACCGGCUAACUCUGUGCCAGCAGCCGCGGUAAUACAGAGGGUGCUAGCGUUAAUCGGAUUUACUGGGCGUAAAGCGUGCGUAGGUGGUUUGAUAAGCCGGUUGUGAAAGCCCCGGGCUCAACCUGGGAAUUGCGGCCGAUACUGUCAGACUCGAAAACGGUAGAGGGAGGUGGAACUCCAGGUGUAGCGGUGAAAUGCGUAGAUAUCUGGAAGAACAUCGAUGGCGAAGGCAGCCUCCUGGGCCUGUUUUGACACUGAGGCACGAAAGCGUGGGUAGCAAACA
rnacentral:rRNA from 1 species